rnacentral:rRNA from 1 species
AUUGAACGCUGGCGGCGUGCUUAACACAUGCAAGUCGAUCGGUAACGCGGGGGCAACCCUGGCGACGAGAGGCGGACGGGUGAGGAACGCUUGGGAAUCUGCCCUUCAGCGGGGGACAACACGGGGGAAACUCGUGCUAAUACCGCAUACGCUCCACGGAGGAAAGCCGGGGACCGCAAGGCCUGGCACUGAAGGAUGAGCCCAAGUCGGAUUAGCUAGUUGGCGGGGUAACGGCCCACCAAGGCGACGAUCCGUAGCUGGUCUGAGAGGACGAUCAGCCACACUGGGACUGAGACACGGCCCAGACUCCUACGGGAGGCAGCAGUGGGGAAUAUUGGACAAUGGGGGAAACCCUGAUCCAGCGACGCCGCGUGGGUGAAGAAGGCCUGCGGGUUGUAAAGCCCUUUCGGUAGGGACGAAAGCUCUCGACCUAACACGUCGGGAGGUUGACUUAACCUACAGAAGAAGCACCGGCUAACUCUGUGCCAGCAGCCGCGGUAA